AGCUUUGGCUUCCACCCUUUCAGGUCAAGCAAGUCUACUCAAGAGGCCACGCAUCGCUCGGAGGAAUCAAACAUGGCGUUGGUCCGGGAGAAAUCCUGUGCCGAGGAGCUGGUUGACAGAGGACGAUGUCCGGAGAGUGGUCAGGGAAGAGCUGGAGUGUGCUAAAUC